AGUGCCGCGAGAACUAGACUGAGCGAUGCCGAUCGCGAGUGUUCCAAGGGCCUAUAAGCCAGCCUGUGAUUGGCUUCGUGGGGCCCCGCCCCCGCCGAGCUGUGCGUGCGCCUGCGCGUCUUCGGGUCCGCGGCCCUGGAAUCUGUGUGGCAGCGGAGUUGCUAUAAAUGCCGGCACCACUGCGCUCGAGCCCUCUCCGGAUGCAGGACACCUGGAUGCCCCAAGCCUGAGGCCGACGCCGCCAGGAUCGUGGGGGUAGGGAGGCUUCGCUGUAUUCACUUUAUUAAUUUACUUAUCCUUUAUCUUCGUUUUUCAAUAAAGUUCUUGGUCUAA